CGCACGCCCGCGGCCGAACGCUCCCCGCACCUUCAUCCUCCGCGCAGCCACGCAUCCACAGCCGUGAUUCCCGCCGCCCCGCCGCGCUCACCUUCCAGCCCGCGGCCGAACGCUCCCCCGCACCUUCCAUCCUCCGCGCAGCCACGCAUCCCGCAGCCGCGAUUCCCGCCACGCUCACCUUCCAUCCCCGCGCUCUCCCAUCGACGUCGAUGCUCAUCCUCCGCGCAGCCACAGCCGCGAUUCCCGCCGCCCCGCCGCGCUCACCUACCAGCCCCGCCGCGGAUCCCUGAUGUUGAGAUCUGGGAGCUGAAGCUGAAGAUCUCGCGGAUGCGGGUGCGGCUGACGGAGCUGGAGCGGGAGCAGGGGCUAAUGAAGCAGCAGGGGAGGAUGCGCGGCGGGGACGGCGGCGGCGGCGAGCACGACCGCGCCUUCCUUGCGUCGCUCUCGAGGGGCAUCGGCAGCAUCACCAUGUUCGGCGGGCCCGCGGCGGCCGACAGACGGCGCAAGAAUUGUGGCGGCCGGAGCUCCCAGUGCUCCGACGGCAAGGCCCGCAGGCGGCAGAAGGCAUCCUUCCCUAUGACUGAUGCUUCGCUGCUAGCGUCGACAGUGGAGGCGCGGCAGGCGGUGAUCGUGGAUGGAUGCGGUCUCAGCGUCUGGAGGAUCGGUCGGAGCUAAGCAGGGACGGUGGGUGCUGACAGCUGAGUGAUACGUGUAUUUCUAGGAAGAUCAAGCCCAGAGCUGUCGCAUAGCCAGAACUGCAUCUACUUCCACGGCACCGUCAGCAAGGACAAGUUGGUCAUCCAGCUCUCUAGGAAGAUCAAGGACGGCAUCUGAAGACUGAAGUACUUUGAAGUUUGAUGAACAACAAGGACAUCCUCACGCACAAGUUUGAUGAACAAGGGAGUUGCCGACCUUUCUCUAGGUUCCUGCCUGAUGACUCAUUUCUCCAGUUCUUUGAUUUCACCACAAAUUCGAAGGUUCAAGGUCAACAAAAUUCUUGAGCCAGUUCACUCCAACCCAAUGGGACAAGGAUCAGUGGUAUCCUUUCAUGGGGCCACUGCGGUCCAUCCAAGUGUUGUUCAUUUGUGUUGUCUUCGUGAUCGUGGAGAUCAACACAUUCUUCCUUAAGCUUACGUCCUUAUUGCCGAGUUCCUCAAAAGGACUAAGUCGUUACUGUGGUUCAGUCUCUACUUGAAUGAUAUUAGUGACAAGGUAAAACUAUUCCUUUAUUGUUAAUUAUUUUCUAUAUGCAUGAUGGCAGUAACUAAAAUAUUGGAUUGUGUUGGACAUACAACAAGUUCUAGAAGCCAUUAGCUAACCACAUAAUCAUUGACCUUAACCCAGUGACCAUUUAACAACGUAUAUAAUAUAAAUUUACAUUAGAUGCUUUAUUUUUGCAGUGUAGACCUAUUGCACAUAUAAGUGCUCCUUAGAACUUAGGCUGUUAUUUUCAGUCUCAUUAUUCCAUUCUUUACUAAAGAAUUGUACAUCAAACAAAUUUAUGUAGUACAUAUAUUGCAGAGGUCCUCAAAAUCUACACCAAGUUAUGUCAGGGACUAUAUCUCCACUCAACUCAUUUUAACGUUGUACAUUUCAAUCAAAUCCAAAUACAUGUGAAAUAAAUAAUAAUAGAAGCAUAUAGAAACCGAUAUACCUUAUUUACUCAUAACACAAUAUUAGGUCUAGUUAAGUAUUACAAAGCUCCUACUACACGUCUAUAACUUAUGGCGUUAUUUGGCCUUAGAGGAUAUCCUUCGUAAUGUGAUAACUUAUCGCUUAUUGAAAGUGGUGUGGCGACGUGACGGGUUUACAAUCUGCCACCCCAACUUGUUUACGAUGUUCAAAAGCAUAAUUUUCUUGAGUAAGUGUUAAUUUUAUACCAACAAAAUAGUAAAUAUCUCAUAAGUCCUUGAGAGCAAAUCCUUUUCAUGAGUCUCGCAACAAAGUUGUGGUGGUGUUCUUUGAUGAAAUAGUAACAACAAUAUCAUCCAUAUAUACCAACACAAAAAUCGUUAUAUUGUUCUUGUUAUAAAAGAAUAAGGAUAUAUUUACCUUUGAUGCAUGGAAGAGAUUAGUUUAUUACUUAGCCGAGAGAGCCAUGCUCUAGAGGCUUGUUUCAAAUCAUGUAUUUCUUUAUCAAGUUUGCAAACAUGUACAGAUCAUGACAGAUCUUGAUAGUCACGAGGUUGCUCUAUUUGGACCUCUUCUUCUAGAUACGCAUGUAUGAAUGCAUUUUGUACAUCAAGUUCACGCUAGCUCCAACGUCUUGAUACAGAAACAGAUAGAAAAUAUGAACAGUAGACAUUUUAACAAUCGGACUGAAUGUGUUAUUAUAAUCAAUGUUAUAUUUUUGUUUAAAACAUUU